UGUCUGCUAAUUUCCCCAAGGCCAGUUUGUUAAAAAGAAAACUGAAAGGGAGAGGAGGAGGCACAAUAUAGGACAGGUGCUUAGCAGGGGCCCACUGGUAUACUUCCACUGAAGCCGAGUUAAACUGAACUGCACCAGUUGAGUAUCUGGGUCCUUUUUAUUUGGGUAACCUUUGGGAAGCUAAAUUAGUGGAUGUAAAUGUAGUAACAAAAUAAACAUAAAAUAUAGCUCCAUUUACUGCGUUUUAGAAGUGGUGAGCUAUGUCUUAAAGGCAAACGGAACUGCUGAUCUAGGGCAUAGAGAGAGUUGCUAUUCCAUACUGCAGCAAAGAAGAAGCAGAACAGACAUCAAUGCAGACAGAGAAACCACCAAAAAGACCGAUGUGUCAGAGACAGCUGUGAGGGCCAUACUAACCCAAGAGGACGCCGAAUGGAGAGACCAGUUGCCUACACCAGUAGGAAGUUGCUGCCCAUAGAAACAUGGAACGAAUGGAUGCUGCUGCCAGUGUUCACUCCCAGUCCUUUGAGGCCUAGUCAGGAAGACAGGAGCAGAUCCACCAACCUCUUGAUCAAAAGUCAACAAUAGAAGAAGUCCACAAGCAAAGAAGUCACUGAAUUCUUCUGCCUUCUCUUGUGAAAAUGGCAGUUCCCCCUGGGGGCAGAAAUGCACCUUGCUCUUGCAUUUGAGAGUUGUACUGUACUGUUUGUCCUCAGUGUACAAGAAUUGUAAUGAUCUGAUACUGUAGAUAGUUUUACAUAAAAGUCUUCCUAUUACAUAGUUUUUAGAAAAUAUUCUUGGGGAGUAAAGGGUAUCAAUAUAUAAACAUCUUGUGUUAAAAAUUUUAUUAAUCAUUCUAAAGGAAAAUAUUUCAUAAGAGCUUUUUUAAACUUUUCCAAAAUUUUUCAAUUUUUUCCAAAAAAUAAAAAGUCCUCAGAAGAAAAAGGGAAAAAAUGUUUUUUUUCCGAAUGUUUCUGUUUUUUUAUGGGACUUCACAUCUCUAUCCAGAGCAUAGCAUGUGGAAGCUCAGUCCUUGCCUGGCCAUACAACAGUGUCAACAUUUCUGUUUGGCUGGGCCUGGAAAGGAGUUCCCACGUAAAACUCCUUCCAGCCUGAGCUGGAGCCGAGCUGCAUCUGACAGUAAGGGAGGGAGAGGGGCAGGGUGGAAGCUGCAGGGGGAAAUGGAGAGGGGAGCAGGCAGCUGCUGAGACUUUGGUUUUGGCCCUGACCUAGGCUCAAAGUCAGAGCUCCAGCAGCUGCCUGCUUUCUCCUCUGCUUUGCAUGAAAAUGUAAAGACAAGGGGCUCCUCCCCUCCUCCAUGCUGAUGGGAGGGGAGGGGAAAUCUCUUCUUAUAUUUGAGUAAAUAUGGUAAUAAAAUCUGUCCCUCAAGCUGUGAGUUUAAUAACUAAAAAUCUCAGUGAUCACAUUUAUGUUUUACACUGUAGCACAAAGGAAGAGGUUUAUGAGCCUCUUUUCAAGUACUGAGAAAAACCUGCUCACUACACUUGUGACAAAUAUUUUGUAAAAGGAAGUAGGCAAAGUACCUGGCUCAGUUGGAGGGAGUAGUGUUUAAACAUACUGUGUUUUUGUAUACUGACUGUGUACUGAGGGAACAGAACUGGUUAGUUAAGUAUCAUGUCACAAAGUCAGUGUCCAGAAUUCAGCAUAAUACUUCCAAAAUUACUGGGACAAUGCAGUCUGUUACAGACUUUCAGAAGCUAGGAUGUGGCAUGUGCUACCCUUGAGGUUUGUGCUAGCUUGACAGCUGGCUGACAGAUGCAAGCGCAUGACACUGGCCCUGCUUUAUCUCUUCUCAGCUUUUGUUGGGAAUCUGGAAUGACUGUUAUUACAACAAUUAUAUUAGAACAAUUACAUUAUGAGAGUCUUUUACUAUCCCUUAUGCCAGGCAUAGAGAAGUUUGUAUCCUCAUGCUUUCUGUACCCUUUGCAUAUCUGCACAGCUGUUCAAAAUCAAAUUUUAAUUAGAACCAAUUUAAAAUUUUCAACUAGAGGAGGAAAAUAUUUGGUUUCAUUAAAAUAGUUUUACUAGA